GACGAACGCUGGCGGCGUGCCUAAUACAUGCAAGUUGAGCGAUGAAGAUUGGUGCUUGCACCAAUUUGAAGAGCAGCGAACGGGUGAGUAACGCGUGGGGAAUCUGCCUUUGAGCGGGGGACAACAUUUGGAAACGAAUGCUAAUACCGCAUAAUAACUUUAAACAUAAGUUUUAAGUUUGAAAGAUGCAAUUGCAUCACUCAAAGAUGAUCCCGCGUUGUAUUAGCUAGUUGGUGAGGUAAAGGCUCACCAAGGCGAUGAUACAUAGCCGACCUGAGAGGGUGAUCGGCCACAUUUGGACUGAGACACGGCCCAAACUCCUACGGGAGGCAGCAGUAGGGAAUCUUCGGCAAUGGACGAAAGUCUGACCGAGCAACGCCGCGUGAGUGAAGAAGGUUUUCGGAUCGUAAAACUCUGUUGGUAGAGAAGAACGUUGGUGAGAGUGGAAAGCUCAUCAAGUGACGGUAACUACCCAGAAAGGGACGGCUAACUACGUG
rnacentral:rRNA from 1 species